UUUGCGCAUAGCCUUCUCAAUGGUAGCAGGCGACUACCACAUUUUUCGUAAGUUUUCUGUCAUUUGUUAGAUUACGCGAUUUCGAACAACAUACAAGAAAUGGGAAAGAUAAGAAUGUGUUGUAUUUGUGGUAUUUCUUCAGAUUUUAUAAAAAGAAGGAUAGAAAUUCCCGUAGUUUUUUUAAUUUUCCAAACCCGAAAAUCAAAAAGUUAGUGCCAUUAAGGAUCUGUUGGAAAGGAGGCUUGUUGCAUGGAAAGAAGUUGUUGGAACUAAUUAUGAUAAUGUCCCUAUUGGACUGACUUGUGUUUGUUCUGACCACUUCCAAUCAGGUAAACCAGCUCAUUUUUGCAAUGAAAACGAUAUUGAUUGGAUACCAUCAAAGAAUUUGGAUCUGUUGGUCACUAACAAAACAAGAAACACUCAAAAUGCUAACGAACAUUCACACAAUGACAAUGAUGAAGAAUCAAAUGUUGAUGUCACCUUACUUGAUGAUGAUAGUAAUGUUGGUUGUUUUUUAUUG